UAUAUUAGAAUUGGAAAAGAUAUAGAGAAUGGCAACAAAAACGAUUAGGAGUAUGAAACAAUUUCCAUAUGAGGAGAGAUUAAAAAGACUGGGACUGUUCAGUUUAGAAAAGAGACUAAUAAAGGGAACAUAAUAGAGGUCUAUACGAUCAUGAAUGGUGUGGAGAAAGUGAAUAGGAAAGUGUUAUUUACCCAUUUCCUUCUUCUAACACAAGA